rnacentral:misc_RNA from 1 species
GAUGAAGAACGUAGCGAAAUGCGAAACGUAGUGUGAAUUGCAGAAUUCAGUGAAUCAUCGAAUCUUUGAACGCACAUUGCACCUCUCGGUAUUCCGGGAGGUAUGCCUGUUCGAGCGUCAUUUGUACCCUCAAGCUCUGCUUGGUGUUGGGUGUUUGUUCCGCCUCUGUGUGUGAACUCGCCUCAAAACAAUUGGCAGCCGGCGUACUUGUUUCGGAGCGCAGCACAUUUUGCGAUCCAGAUCAACGUACAGCGGCAUCCAAGAAGCCUUAUUUAACGCUCUUGACCUCGGAUCAGGUAGGGAUACCCGCUGAACUUAAGCAUAUCAAUAAGCGGAGGA